rnacentral:tRNA from 2 species
GAGGAUUUAGCUUAAUAAAAGUGAAUGAUUUGCAAUCAUUAGAUGUAGAGUGGAUUUCUGCAAUCCUUA